AGCAGCCGCGGUAAUUCCAGCUCCAAUAGCGUAUAUUAAAGUUGUUGCAGUUAAAAAGCUCGUAGUUGAAUUUCGGGGUUAGUAGGUUGGUCAUGCCUCUGGUAUGUACUGGUCUCACUGAUUCCUCCUUCCUGAUGAACCUUAAUGCCAUUAAUUUGGUGUUUUGGGGAAUUUGGACUGUUACUUUGAAAAAUUAGAGUGUUUAAAGCAAGCUAACGCUUGAAUACAUUAGCAUGGAAUAAUGAAAUAGGACGUUCGAUCCUAUUUUGUUGGUUUCUAGGAUUGACGUAAUGAUUAAUAGGGAUAGUUGGGGGCAUUAGUAUUCAAUUGUCAGAGGUGAAAUUCUUGGAUUUAUUGAAGACUAACUACUGCGAAAGCAUUUGCCAAGGAUGUUUUCAUUAAUCAAGAACGAAAGUUAGGGGAUCGAAGACGAUCAGAUACCGUCGUAGUCUUAACCAUAAACUAUGCCGACUAGGGAUCG
rnacentral:rRNA from 1 species